rnacentral:rRNA from 1 species
AAGCUCGUAGUUGAAUUUCGGGAUUAGUACGUCGGUCGUGCCUUAGGUACGUACUGGUGUUACUGGUUUCCUACCUUCUGACGAACCAUCAUGUCAUUAAUUUGGUGUGGUGGGGAAUCAGGACUGUUACUUUGAAAAAAUUAGAGUGUUUAAAGCAGGCUCGCGCUUGAAUACAUUAGCAUGGAAUAAUGAAAUAGGACGUUGAUCCUAUUUUGUUGGUUUCUAGGAUUGACGUAAUGAUUAAUAGGGAUAGUUGGG